GAACAAGAUAAGUUGAUCGCAAGCCAAAAAACCAAAGAAGCGGAGCAAGAGAGACAAUGGAAGCAGCUCCAAGCUCUUCGACAACAACAGCAGUCGUCUCAAGAUCAGCGAAACCAGGGAUUACAAAGGGUUGUUCAUCGACCUCUUGGAAUUGAUGCCAGUAGUAACCUAAUUCAGUUCCAGCAACCACCACAACCUAGUCCCGAUGCAAUGGUCUCACCGCAGCUAACCUCUCAACUUCAAGUGGCUACCAAUCAGGACGCUGGUCAUCAUCCAUCGCUCACCUCUCCCAAUAUGAUGCAGCAGCAACGUUCCCCAUAUGCACCACCGCAAUCUCCACAAAUGACAAAGCGUGUGUCAGCCCGCACAAUCACCAUCUACAUUUCAAGGAACUUUUCCACGUCCUCCAGCUGUUUCUGCAUCUCAAGAUGAUAUAUUCAGUCCACCUGCAGCUCCAGUCCGUCUUCCUUCCUCAGAGAUGUUCAAUCAGAACCCUGUAGUGUCUCUUCCCUCCGGACAGUUCAAGCAGCCGUUUCAAAUACCGUGUUCAGCACAGCAUCAGCACCACUUCAGCAUACUAAUGGUCAAAAUGUCAACCAACAGCUCCAUGACCUUCUGCAGCGACAACAGCAAUUCAAAAAGAUUGAUUCCUCCUCCAACAUCAUUGAUUCAAACAUUAUGCAACAAAGCGUUUGGGGGCAAGACAAUCAAGGUCAACAACAAGUGCAACAAACUCAACAACAGCCGCAACAUCAACAGCAGCAACCACAACAACAAAACAUCAUCUCCGGUAUAGAAGCCCAAAAAUCCCAACUGGAGCAGAUCACUGUUUCUGGUGUGAACACCAUGUACUCACAGCCUUUCCGACAACCUUUACCCCCGGGUACUGUCAUCAAUCGACCUGUUAUGCAGCAACAGCGGUUAUUGACACCACAGCAACAGCAGUUACUCAUGCAAAGAUCUCCGCUCUUGCAGCAGCAGCGAAUAUUGGAUCCACGUCUCCAGCGAACAAUAGGAUUCCCUGCGCAGCAACAGCAGACCAUAAACAUCAAUCAGCUGGCUAAUGCAGCAAGGCUAAAUAAUCCGCAAAACGUUCUUCGCGCUCCUGUUGAUUCUUAUCCGGUCAAUCAGUUGAAUCAGCAUCAACAAGCUGUGCAAUUUAAUGACCCCAACAAUCCAAACCUCAUGAUUCGCAAACCUGGAGAAAAUGCAGGCGACAGGAAUUUAGUGUCUCAGAGCGGACCUAACAAUCAAAUCCUCAGCCAUCCGUCUAGUAAUCAAUCCCAUGAAACAAGUGAAAUUCCGGACAGCGUGACGGCAGAGCUGGAAAAGGAGCGGGAAGAAGGUGUCGGACAAAGUAGUACUGUGACAGGUAUGACAGAAGCAGAAGCAGUCAGUGCAAUCUUAAAUGAUCUCGUAGAGGACGAUGACGAGCUCCUUGCGGAGAUGGGUGGAGAUGACUUCAACAUCCUCGAAUAUGCGGAUCCUGAGCUUGACAGUUUAACUGGGUGCGAGAAAGCAAACAUCUUAGAUGAAAUUGAAGCUGAUGAACAACAUAAAACAGAUAAAAGGAACUCAGCAAGGGAUCCAAUGGAGUCGGACAAAGAGAUGGGACAAAUCGAUGCUCUGAAACCAAAUUCAUCGGAAAUGGUGAACGACCCCUCAGCCCUCGGAAAUCAGGAUGACAAACCUUUGGCCACGGUUGGCAGCGACAAUUCCAAUUCAUUUCCUAGUCAGUCGCAGCAAUCACCGAUGGACCCAUCUAGUCAGCAACAACAGCCACAGCAGCAGCCGCAACAGCAACAGCAGCAACCAAGUUUACUCCAACAACCGCAACUUGUGGGUCAGCAGCAACAGCUGCCCCAGACCCACCAGCAGGUGCCACAAAAUCAACAGAAUGCCCAUCGCUGUUGCCAAUUGUCAAAGCCUCUGGAAAUGUGUCUGUAA
rnacentral:lncRNA from 1 species